rnacentral:lncRNA from 1 species
UUUUUUAUAUCCCUAAUUUUUUCCCGAACCCUUUUUAUUAUUUUUUUUGGUUCGUCGGGAUGCCCAUUUCUGCCUGGACUCUUUCUUUUUAUUGUCUAGCGGGUCAAUUAUGCGAAGUAUUUUUUAACUACGUCUGAGUUGACAGGGGAUGAGAAGUCUUCGCCAUCCAUGGUUGUUAGCAUCAAAGCUCCGCUAGAGAAAAC